rnacentral:rRNA from 1 species
UACGGGGGGAGCAAGCGUUGUUCGGAUUUACUGGGCGUAAAGGGCGCGUAGGCGGCCAGCACAAGUCAGUUGUGAAAUCUCCGAGCUUAACUCGGAAAGGUCAACUGAUACUGUGCGGCUAGAGUGCAGAAGGGGCAACUGGAAUUCUUGGUGUAGCGGUGAAAUGCGUAGAUAUCAAGAGGAACACCUGCGGCGAAGGCGGGUUGCUGGGCUGACACUGACGCUGAUGCGCGAAAGCCAGGGAAGCGAACGGG